rnacentral:rRNA from 1 species
UACAGAGGGUGCAAGCGUUAAUCGGAAUUACUGGGCGUAAAGGGUGCGUAGGUGGUUGGAGAAGUUGGGCGUGAAAUCCCUGGGCUUAACCUAGGAAGGACGUUCAAGACUGGCUAGCUAGAGUAUGGUAGAGGUAAGCGGAAUUUCCGGUGUAGCGGUGAAAUGCGUAGAUAUCGGAAGGAACAUCAGUGGCGAAGGCGGCUUACUGGACUGAUACUGACACUGAGGCACGAAAGCGUGGGGAGCAAACAGG